GGGGGGGGCAAGCGUUGUUCGGAAUUACUGGGCGUAAAGGGCGCGUAGGCGGUCCGCUAAGUUAGAUGUGAAAACUCUGGGCUCAACCCAGAGCCUGCAUCUAAUACUGACGGGCUAGAGUUCUGGAGGGGGUAGCGGAAUUCCUGGUGUAGCGGUGAAAUGCGUAGAUAUCAGGAGGAACACCGGUGGCGAAGGCGGCUACCUGGACAGAAACUGACGCUGAGGCGCGAAAGCUAGGGGAGCAAACAGGAUUAGAUACCCUGGUAGUCCUAGCCCUAAACGAUGGAUACUUGGUGUGACUGGGAUUGAAUCCAGUCGUGCCGAAGCUAACGCAUUAAGUAUCCCGCCUGGGGAGUACGGUCGCAAGGCUG
rnacentral:rRNA from 1 species